rnacentral:rRNA from 1 species
CGAACGGGUGAGUAAUGCGUGACCAACCUGCCCCAUGCUCCAGAAUAGCUCUUGGAAACGGGUGGUAAUGCUGGAUGCUCCAACUUGACGCAUGUCUUGUUGGAAAAGUGUUUAGUGGCAUGGGAUGGGGUCGCGUCCUAUCAGCUUGUAGGCGGGGUAAUGGCCCACCUAGGCUUCGACGGGUAGCCGGCCUGAGAGGGCGGACGGCCACAUUGGGACUGAGAUACGGCCCAGACUCCUACGGGAGGCAGCAGCC